UACAGAGGUCCCAAGCGUUGUUCGGAUUCACUGGGCGUAAAGGGUGCGUAGGCGGGUUUUUAAGUCAGAGGUGAAAUCCUGGAGCUCAACUCCAGAACUGCCUUUGAUACUGAAAGUCUUGAGUAUGGGAGAGGUGAGUGGAACUGCGAGUGUAGAGGUGAAAUUCGUAGAUAUUCGCAAGAACACCAGUGGCGAAGGCGGCUCACUGGCCCAUUACUGACGCUGAGGCACGAAAGCGUGGGGAGCAAACAGG
rnacentral:rRNA from 1 species